AUGUUGGCUUAGAAGCAGCCAUCAUUUAAAGAGUGCGUAAUAGCUCACUAGUCGAGUGACACUGCGCCGAAAAUGUACCGGGGCUAAACAUAUUACCGAAGCUGUGGAUUGUCCUUUGGACAAUGGUAGGAGAGCGUUCUAAGGGCGUCGAAGCAUGAUCGCAAGGACAUGUGGAGCGCUUAGAAGUGAGAAUGCCGGUGUGAGUAGCGAAAGACGGGUGAGAAUCCCGUCCACCGAUUGACUAAGGUUUCCAGAGGAAGGCUCGUCCGCUCUGGGUUAGUCGGGUCCUAAGCUGAGGCCGACAGGCGUAGGCGAUGGAUAACAGGUUGAUAUUCCUGUACCACCUAGUAUCGUUUUAAUCGAUGGGGGGACGCAGUAGGAUAGGCGAAGCGUGCUGUUGGAGUGCACGUCCAAGCAGUAAGGCUGAGUGUUAGGCAAAUCCGGCACUCAUAAGGCUGAGCUGUGAUGGGGAGAGGAAAUUGUUUCCUCGAGUCGUUGAUUUCACACUGCCGAGAAAAGCCUCUAGAUAGAUAACAGGUGCCCGUACCGCAAACCGACACAGGUAGUCAAGAUGAGAAUUCUAAGGUGAGCGAGCGAACUCUCGUUAAGGAACUCGGCAAAAUGACCCCGUAACUUCGGGAGAAGGGGUGCUCUUUAGGGUUCACGCCCAGAAGAGCCGCAGUGAAUAGGCCCAAGCGACUGUUUAUCAAAAACACAGGUCUCUGCUAAACCGUAAGGUGAUGUAUAGGGGCUGACGCCUGCCCGGUGCUGGAAGGUUAAGAGGAGUGGUUAGCUUCUGCGAAGCUACGAAUCGAAGCCCCAGUAAACGGCGGCCGUAACUAUAACGGUCCUAAGGUAGCGAAAUUCCUUGUCGGGUAAGUUCCGACCCGCACGAAAGGCGUAACGAUUUGGGCACUGUCUCAACGAGAGACUCGGUGAAAUCAUAGUACCUGUGAAGAUGCAGGUUACCCGCGACAGGACGGAAAGACCCCGUGGAGCUUUACUGUAGCCUGAUAUUGAAAUUCGGCACAGCUUGUACAGGAUAGGUAGGAGCCUUUGAAACGUGAGCGCUAGCUUACGUGGAGGCGUUGGUGGGAUACUACCCUAGCUGUGUUGGCUUUCUAACCCGCACCACUUAUCGUGGUGGGAGACAGUGUCAGGCGGGCAGUUUGACUGGGGCGGUCGCCUCCUAAAAGGUAACGGAGGCGCUCAAAGGUUCCCUCAGAAUGGUUGGAAAUCAUUCAUAGAGUGUAAAGGCAUAAGGGAGCUUGACUGCGAGACCUACAAGUCGAGCAGGGUCGAAAGACGGACUUAGUGAUCCGGUGGUUCCGCAUGGAAGGGCCAUCGCUCAACGGAUAAAAGCUACCCCGGGGAUAACAGGCUUAUCUCCCCCAAGAGUUCACAUCGACGGGGAGGUUUGGCACCUCGAUGUCGGCUCAUCGCAUCCUGGGGCUGUAGUCGGUCCCAAGGGUUGGGCUGUUCGCCCAUUAAAGCGGUACGCGAGCUGGGUUCAGAACGUCGUGAGACAGUUCGGUCCCUAUCCGUCGUGGGCGUAGGAAAUUUGAGAGGAGCUGUCCUUAGUACGAGAGGACCGGGAUGGACAUACCUCUGGUGUACCAGUUGUCGUGCCAACGGCAUAGCUGGGUAGCUAUGUAUGGACGGGAUAAGUGCUGAAAGCAUCUAAGCAUGAAGCCCCCCUCAAGAUGAGAUUUCCCAACUUCGGUUAUAAGAUCCCUCGAAGAUGACGAGGUUAAUAGGUUCGAGGUGGAAGCGUGGUGACACGUGGAGCUGACGAAUACUAAUCGAUCGAAGACUUAAUCAAUUUUUAAA
rnacentral:rRNA from 1 species